AUAGCGUAUAUUAAAGUUGUUGCAGUUAAAAAGCUCGUAGUUGAACCUCAGACCUGGCUGGGCGGUCAGCUUAUCGGCUUGUACUGUCUGGCGGGGCCUUACUUCUUGGUGAGCCGGUGUGCCCUUUAUUGGGUGCGUUGGUGAACCAGGACCUUUACCUUGAGAAAAUUAGAGUGUUCAAAGCAGGCCUAUGCCCGAAUACAUUAGCAUGGAAUAAUAAAAUAGGACGUGCGGUUCUAUUUUGUUGGUUUCUAGAGUCGCCGUAAUGAUUAAUAGGGAUAGUUGGGGGCAUUAGUAUUCAGUUGCUAGAGGUGAAAUUCUUGGAUUUACUGAAGACUAACUACUG
rnacentral:rRNA from 1 species